rnacentral:rRNA from 1 species
UACGGAGGGGGCUAGCGUUAAUCGGAAUUACUGGGCGUAAAGCGUGCGCAGGCGGUUUUGUAAGCCAGAUGUGAAAUCCCCGGGCUUAACCUGGGAAUGGCAUUUGGGACUGCAAGGCUGGAGUGUGGCAGAGGAGACUGGAAUUCCUGGUGUAGCAGUGAAAUGCGUAGAUAUGCGGAGGAACACCGAUGGCGAAGGCAAUCCCCUGGACCUGUACUGACGCUCAUGCACGAAAGCGUGGGGAGCAAACAGG